ACAAUCUGAAAAUCACCUCUGGCCUCUGUCGUGGCUCCUGAGGGGAUAACUGUGCCUACAGCAACAGGAGCGUUAAGCUUACUGCCCACAGACCAUGUGUGGGGAGUAAAACCCAUGUUCCUAUAACC
rnacentral:snoRNA from 1 species